AUUUGUGCGGUGAUGAAGCAUAUAUUGUGGACUAGAGUUUCUGAUGUUGGGCUCUUCUUCCCAUUUCUUUUGACGACAAACCCUUGGCUGUCUGAGCACCAAUUAUCAAUCUUUAUUUUUUCUCCAAGUUUUCUUAAUUUUGUAAAAUAUUUUCACUCAAAUUUUGAUUGUUUGUAAAUUAGGUUAAGAGCUAAUGAUGAGAAAUACAAUUAUCUUAGCGGAUUUCAGUGAGAUUUCUUUGAAUCAAUGAUCUGAUUGUUACACACACUGAAGCUCUUAAUAAUUUAUUUUUUAUAAAAUGGGAUGUAAAUAAUAAUAAUAAUAGCAGUGAUGAGGUAAAACACAUGAGGAUGUGUUUAGGGAAGUGGACAAGACGAUUAAAACCGUUUUGCCGUGAUCCCCAAUUUAAACGACUUCUCCUUCCACUGAGCUUUUUUUUUUAUUUUCAUUCCAACUUUUAUUCAAAAAUACAGUUUUUGUCGAUUUUGAAGAGAUAUGGUGCGUCCAUUUACCAAUUCUGGAGGAUAAGUUGGUUCCUCACGGUGUAAUGGCUCGGACGCUAUAUUAAUGUUUGUGGCCAUCCUGAUCAAUGGGUUCUCAAUACCAUUGCAUCCUGGAAACACCUCAUACAUUU
rnacentral:lncRNA from 1 species